AAAAUCCGCCACUGUCUUUGACAAAAAAUGAAAAAAUUCCACUUUUAGCUCAAUUUGGUACAAAAAAUCACCAAAAAUGUGAAAAACCAGCCCAAAUUGGAUGAUGCAAUGAAGCAAGUUGUUGAGGAAUUUUCUUCAGGAAAUGGAGUCUUGAAGCCAGAUAAAUCUCAUUAAUGGUCCUGCCUCUAUAUAUGCUCAUUUUCACAUAACCCACCCCCAAAAAGAUGCUCUUUGGAAGAAGGAAAAACUGGAACACACUUCUAGCACAAAAUUCGAAAAAUCUCUGUGAGAUUGUGUUUUUGUCUCGCGAAUUUAUCGACAAAUCCGAGCGAUAAUUCACUUCUUUUACGAUUCAAAAUGUAAACAUUUUUUGUAGGUUAGUUUUGGAGCUGCGCAUGCGCAGUAUUGGGGCCAAUGGACCUCCAUUUGCGAUGAUAAUUCGAAAAACUCAGCAAUUUAUAAAUAAAAUAUCAGCGGUCAUCGAUCACCGGAUGUAAAUCACAAGCUUUUCACUUAAUUUAAUUCAAAAUAAUUAAUUUAUUUUCAAUAAUUGCAAAAAACAAAUUCCGUUUUGUUAUUCUGA